AUUAAAGUUGCUGCAGUUAAAACGCUCGUAGUUGGAUUUCGGUUUAAUAAUAAGUAUGUGGUCUUAUAGCUUGCUAUAUGUACUAUUACUAUUAUUACCUUCACUACGAAUAUUACCAAUUCGCUCAUAUUAAUCGUUUCUGAUGGCUAUUACUCUCAAUAGUCACUCGGUUCAUUAAUUGAGAUUUUUGAUAUUGGAAUAAUAUUAUUCGUAACGUUUACUGUGAGGAAAAUAGAGUGUUCAAAGCAGGCGUAAAAAUAGUCUUUGAAUAUAUUAGCAUGGGAUAAUGAAAUAAGAUUUUUGUCUUACUUUCGUUGGUUUCUAAGGCAUUAAUAAUGAUUAAUAGGGGCAGAAUGGUGUAAUUAGUAUUUAAUUGUCAGAGGUGAAAUUCUAAGAUUAAUUAAAGACUAUCUACUGCGAAAGCAUUUUACAAGGAUGUUUUCAUUAAUCAAGAACGAAAGUUAAGGGAUCGAAGAUGAUCAGAUACCGUCGUAGUCUUAACCCUAAACUAUGCCGACCAAGGAUCCGGUUGAGUUGAAAUAUAAAGGAUGACCUUCCGGGAACUUAUAGAGAAAUCAUAAGUAUUUGGGCUCCGGGGGGAGUAUGGUCGCAAGGCUGAAACUUAAAGAAAUUGACGGAAAGGCACCACAAGGAGUGGAACCUGCGGUUUAAUUUGACCCAACACGGGGAAACUUACCAGGUCCAGACACAGUGAGGAUUGACAGAUUGAGAGUUCUUUCUUGAUUCUGUGAGUGGUGGUGCAUGGCCGUUUCUAGUUGGUGGAGUGAUUUGUUUGGUUAAUUCCGUUAACGAACGAGACCUUAACCUAUUAAAUAGUUAAAUCACAUAAUGAACAUAAUUGAUAUCUUUUUAUCUUUUAUCGUUUGUUUAACUUCUUAGAGGGACAACCUGCUGAGAGAGUAGGGGGAAGUUUGAGGCAAAAACAGGUCUGUGAUGCCCUUAGAUGUUCUGGGCCACACGCGCGUUACACUGACAUGUUCAACGAGUAUUAAACUGACUCGAAGGGGUUGGUUAAUCUUUUAAAUACAUUGUCGUGCUGGGGAUAGAUCAUUGUAAUUAUUGGUCUUGAACGAGGAAUUCCUCGUAGGUGCAGGUCAUCAGCUUGCGCCGAUUACGUCCCUGCCUUUUGUACACACCGCCCGUCGCUUUUACCGAUUUGGAUUGGAAGGCGAGGACUCAGGAUGGAUAUGUGUAUGAAUAGCUUGCUAUUCAGCCUUAUCCAGAAUUUGUUCAAACCUUUCAAUCUAGAGGAAAAAGAAGUCGUAACAAGGUCUCCGUAGGUGAACCUGCGGAGG
rnacentral:rRNA from 1 species